CGGGUGAGUAUCACGUGAGUUAUCCACCCUCAGUACCGGGAUAGCCCGAGGAAACUCGGAUUAAUACCGGAUGGCCCAACAGUUCUUCGGGACGGUUGGAAAAGGUAGCUUCGGCCUCCGACUGGGGACGAGCUCGCGGCGGAUUAGCUUGUUGGUGGGGUAAUGGCCUACCAAGGCGACGAUCCGUAGCUGGUCUGAGAGGACGAUCAGCCACACUGGGACUGAGACACGGCCCAG
rnacentral:rRNA from 1 species